UACAGAGGGGGCAAGCGUUAUUCGGAAUUAUUGGGCGUAAAGGGCGCGUAGGCGGCCUGGCAAGUGGAAGGUGAAAUCCCUCGGCUUAACCGAGGAACUGCCUCCCAAACUGCUUGGCUUGAGACCGGGAGAGGUGAGUGGAAUUCCCAGUGUAGCGGUGAAAUGCGUAGAUAUUGGGAGGAACACCAGUGGCGAAGGCGGCUCACUGGACCGGUACUGACGCUGAGACGCGAAAGCGUGGGGAGCAAACAGG
rnacentral:rRNA from 1 species